rnacentral:lncRNA from 1 species
UAGGAAUAAGAUGGGAAAGGAGGACAGUUAGACUAGUGUAACCCUACAAAUGUUUGGGUCUUAAACAUGCUGUGUAUUAUAUGAUUUUUGCAGCAACUCUCUGUCUAUAAAAUCUCAAAAUCCAGAACACAGUCCUGCUAAAAGUGCUGUCCUCAUCUGGAAAUUAAGUGAAAGAAGGGAAUGGGAAAAUGCUUCACUACUGUAAAAGAAGCUACUAAACAACAGGAACACAAGAGGUUAGAUAAUUUUCUUCGAUUCUCUUUCUGGUCAAAAUUGUUCUGGAGAUAUGGAAAUGAAAGUCAUAGUAGUUUUAUCCUCUUCUAAAUCAUUUAGGUAUGCACUGAGUGUUUCAGACUGAAUUCUCUAAUUCUUGUUAAUAUAUUCUGGGGCCAAUUCUGUUCAACGGUUUUUUUUUUUUUUCAGUGAUCUAGAUGCAGAGCUGGAGUGCAUCCUCAGUAAAUUUGCUGUUUUCAUUAAACUGUUGACUCCUGGUGGAAUGAGAGGUCUCACAGAGGGUUCUAGAUAAACAGGAGCACCAGGCCAUCAGCAACAGCAUGGAGUUCAAUGACAGAAUGUGUGGGAAUGGCACAAAGCUGCAACAGAGGAAGUUCAGACUGAGCAUUAGGAAACAUUUAUUUUCCAUGAUGGUGGUCAAACACUGAAGCAGGAUUCCUAAAAUGUUGGUUGAUGCCUCAUGGCGGUCCAUGAGUGUUCAAGAGACAUUUGCACAAUGUUCUCAUUAAUAAAUUUUAACUUUUGGUUGAAGAAGUCA